GGGGAAUUUUGGACAAUGGGGGCAACCCUGAUCCAGCCAUGCCGCGUGUGUGAAGAAGGCCUUCGGGUUGUAAAGCACUUUCGGCCGGAACGAAAUCGCGCGGGUGAAUAUCCCGCGUGGAUGACGGUACUAGGUGAAUAAGCACCGGCUAACUCCGUGCCAGCAGCCGCGGUAAUACGUAGGUGGCAAGCGUUGUCCGGAUUUAUUGGGUUUAAAGGGUGCGUAGGCGGCCUUGUAAGUCAGUGGUGAAAUACUCUAGCUUAACUAGAGGGGUGCCAUUGAUACUGCAGGGCUUGAGUACAGACGAGGUAGGCGGAAUUGACGGUGUAGCGGUGAAAUGCAUAGAUAUCGUCAAGAACUCCGAUAGUGAAGACAGCUUACUAGGCUGUAACUGACGCUGAGGCACGAAAGUGUGGGGAUCAAA
rnacentral:rRNA from 1 species